UGAAAAAGCAGUGAGUGUGGUGAUAUAAUGAAAAAGGGAGAGGUGAAUGAAGUUCUGAAAACCUCCAAGAUUUUAAAUUAUUCCAGAAGCUGACAUGUUGCAAAUGAGUUAGAAAUCUGGUUUACUCUUGUGGUUUGUGCUGUAAAGUAUAUAACUAUCAGUAGGAAGAAUUAUGACCUAGUGAAGUGCUGGGAUACUUACACACCAGUAAGAACCAGCUACGAAUUGGAACAGACAUGGUUUCCCCAGACUACAGGAAGAAUGUGAUAACAGUGUGGAGAGUUAUGUAGAGGAAUUACUGGUUAAUUAUAGGAAUUACGAGAGAUGAUUUUAUAUGAGAACCCAUGUAUUCCUUUACUUACUGAACUGUGUGUUUCCAAAUGGAUGAAUACUUCCGGAAAAAAAAAAAAAUCUCAUCUUUAUUCCAGUUAAACUGAGAAUACUGGUAUAGCUCAUAUUAUUUUUCAUGUAAGUUCAUCCAGUUCUGGGUGAACCCAAAAGGGUACUUCAUUAGACAGUAAAAGAACAUAAAGAUUGUUCAGAAUGUCAGUCUAAAUUUGUUUCAAGAUUGAGCAGGUUCACUUACAAAGAAAGAAAGAAAGAAAAAAAAAAAAGUAGUUUGUAAUAUUUUAGGAAUCGUUUAGAAAAAGUUUCUGCUAAAAAGAUUACAUCUUUUAAGUUGCUAAAGGAUUUCAAAUGGUGAAAGAGUUAGGUAAUUUCUGAAUUACCAGAAUUAUUCAAGAGCUGCUCUCCUUGGAAAACAAACAAACAAACAAAUACCCCUCCCCCCAAAAAAAAGAACAAAAACAAAAAACAAAACAAACAAAAAAAACACAAAAAACCCCCAACAACAACAACAAAGCAAAAAAAAACCCGACCAAACAAACAAAAAAAACAGCCAACAAACCACACAUCUGGCUUAUUGCAUUUGGAAAAGACUACAAAAGUGCACCACUCUGAUUUAAUUUUGCCCAUAAGUACUCUAUUUCUGUAUCAGUUUUGGCUUUUAUAGAGUUGCAAAGAGGCUGGGGAAAUUCAGGUGGAUUAUUUCACCUUCUACAGAGCAGGAAACACAUUGGAAAAAAUCCUAUUACAAAUGUAAUCUGUCGUCCACAGUCCAGUCCCUUGUUCCCUUCUUCUCACUGCUGCACAGAGCAAGGGAGCGACUUAAAGAGAAGUCAAGGUUUAAAAGUCAUGACCUUACCUUAAAAUGACUGUACUGGGUAGAUUAUGCUACCUUGCCCAGUCCCUUUUCUAAACAUUUAUACCUGGGCCAAAUAUGUUUCAAGCGGUCCCUUAAGUUCACAGCUGCUUUGUGUUGCCAGAAUGUCACAGAGCAGCAGGAGUACAUGGAUAAAUUUGAUUCCAGUCAGUUGGACUCUAGGGAGAGCUGGAUAGAGUCCAUGCACAUGAUUCUUGCAUUUUAAGUGAGGUAUCUACUUCAAUAAACAAUGUGCUGUGUGUGUUAAAUAGGUCAGAUUUCAGCUCAGGUGUCCUGGAUGAAGUGUGGUCUGAAUGCAGCCCCAGCUGGGGUGGGAGGGCUCCAGCACAGAGACUGGGUUGAAUAGGCAGUUUCUGAAAGAGAUGAGAAUUCUGCACUUCAUCACAGCAGUGGUGGGUCUGGUCCAAAGGUCAUUGAGGCUGAUGGAAAAUCUCCAGCUGAACUCAAUAGCCUUGGUACAGGGUAUAUUUGAGCAACACUUUACGUGGCAAUGGGAAAUAAGUGGCCACUUAUCUCUUCCGGGAAGAGCCACUUGAGUUGACUCAGCUGAUUCAGUCCCGUGGAGAGUAAUGAAAUACAGAAGAAACUUUUCCAUCCAGCACAUACAACCAUUAUAAUUUGCUGCUUGUUUGGAAAUAGCUGCUAUCUUUCUUAAGCCAGCUUUGUAGUAUCACAAGACCUUCUCUGCUCUCUUGAGAAAUAUGUUUUUUAAGAGCAUAUAAAGUGAAAAACAAAAGACUGUACAAACCUCAUUUUGGAAGAAGAAACUCUGUGCCUACAAUAACAAACAUUUCAAUGCCUUCAAGGCAGGUAAUAUUCAGAGAUGGACAAUAGAAGAAGAAAUAAUGAAAAAAGGGAUGGAAAAGUCAAGGAUCAGAAGCCACCAAGGCUUUUCAUGCCUGCAUACAGUAAAAUGGGUUUCUGUUCAUGAAUCAGUCCCUCCAUGUUUUCUUCCUCUGUCAACUGCUAAAGCUCAAACUACUAAACUAAGCCAUCAUCUCCUUCCAGAAAAGCUAUGUGGAUGCUGCUCUGAGCAGAGUCUCCAUUCACGGUCCCCUGGUGCAGGUUAUUCUACCUGGGCAGGGCAAGGUGCCUAUGAGGUUUCUGAACUCUGAUUAGAAACGUAGACUGCUCCUCCUUCUUCUUACCAACAGGUGAUUUUUCUUGCUUUCAGAACCAAUUAACAAACAGAAACGUGUAAGCCUUCUCCAAGGUGCUCUACUGUUCAGUUUGAGUAUUAAAUACUAGUUAAUAUACCUGAUGCACUGAACAAUAAAAGAAAAGUGAAGUUGUAUCAGACUAUAAAUAAAAUCACCUGCAUCCUCAUCUCUGAAGAGAUUUUUAGUGCAUUUCUCUGGCUAGGCCUUGAGAUGGAAGAGAGCUCUUUCAAUUAAGAAAACAAACUGUAGCUAAAGAAGCCACCGCAACUGGAUCAACACUAAUUAUUUGAUCAUAAGUGGUUAAGAAGAAAGUAGCCAAGGCGAAAAGGGGAAGAAAGGUAAACAGAGAACAUGCUUCUUUGCUGGAUUUUUUUUUUUUUUUAUAUCUUCAGAACUGUAUGAAACCUUUCAGGAAACUGCUGGCCCGUGGAGCAGGAGCCUCUGUUGUUACACAUGCAAUCACUUGUUUGAAUGGAUACCUCUCAAAUUUGGAGAUUAGAGAAGCUAAUGAACAGAGCUAACUGUAUACAAAUAGCUCUCAGGGCUUGGUGCAUAUUGCUAUGAAGUCUGGAUGUGUAGGCACAGAUGAGCUGUGCUCUCAUUUGGAUUUCUCCAAGGAGAGGAUUUGAAGUGAGUUUUAAAACCCUCUCCAUUAACUCUCUGCUAUGACUCAGCACUGGGAGCCAAUGUGCAUCUGACCACCAUGCAGCACUGCUCCUUCUUUCCAGCUGCUUCAGAGCCAGUGGGAAAUGCAGCAGUGGGGAAAACUCACGUCCUCACCUAAGACCCGGGACACGAGGUAGGUUGCACACCCUGAUCUGCAGGGUCCAGCAUGGAACCAUCAACCCACAGGGAAGAGACGAUCCCCUCCUGCCUCCCCUUUGUGGGAGCUGCACCUGCUGUUGGAGCUGCCUCUGGCUGGAGAACUUGUGGUGGGAAACUGCAAGUGGAGGGCUGUAAAGAUCUAAGGCAAAGAUACUUAGCAGAGUGGCUUGAUUUACUGUGUUCAGAUUAUUACAUGGACAACUAUAUCUGGCACAAGUGAACACACUCAGUCUCUUCAUCUUUGGAAUAAUUCUGUUACACCAGGAGUGGAUCUUGCCUGAAGCUGUUAGCCAAGAACAAUCUCUCCAGGAAAAGGGAGUUUAUAGUGACUAACUGACAAAACAAUUAUACUAAUUGUACAAGCUAAACACUGAUCAAGACAUAGACUCACAGAAGCUGGAGAAGGCUUGGUCCUUCCUAUAACGAUGCAAGAUUGUACCCUAUGCAGUGUUUCAUGCAAUGCAGUUUGUAUGCAAUCUAGGCUGAUUUUAAACAACCUAACUUUACAGUUCUGCACUCGUUUUGAUGUGGGCUGCUACUCACAGUCUAGCAGACAGUAGGAAAUUAUUGUUGUUAUUCAACCUACAGUUCCCUUUUUAAGCAUAAAUCAUGACUCUCAAUGUACCCCAAUGAUUCUGUCUCCUCUCACUUGGUAGACUUCAUGGACUUUCUGGGACAACAUCAUUCAAACCCACCACAUUCCUGCUACCCAGCCUCUAUGUAUUCAGUGCUUCCAAGCAGACCGGAACGGUGUGAUCAAAUAUGAAGGAAAACAGGAAGGAAAAAGAUAAAUUAGAAUGCAAGCUUAGAUCCAUAUUCUUCAAUAGAUUCUGGCUGUAGUCAGACAUAUGUUAACUGACCUGAAGCUGUGUAAGUAUCAGCAGAAAAGGCCCAGCAGGUCUCCAUGGCAAUGUCAGCCGCUGCUUUGGUUUGCAGAGUUCCCAGCCAGUGACCCUUGUUCUGUGCCUAAUCCCAAAGGUCCAAUUUCCCCAAGCAUUUAUUUUUAAAAUAUUGACUUAAAGGGCAGGGACAAAAAAACUGUGGAAUGUGUCCUGGACACCCAUAGGAAAGGAAAUGGUUUAGAGACUGCUGCGGCUGCCAGCAAAUCUGCAACACUGGACACAAAAAGCCCAGUCCCAGUCUCUGCCUAGAAAGAAAAGGAUAACACGCUUUGGCAUAGACAGCAAUGCUGCUGUCCAAAGUGAUCCAAGUGAAACAGUGGCAGAGUAUGAAGCAACAUGUGACGAGAGGCUAAUGUCAUGGCUUUCCCAGCGCCAAAGGGUAGGACUUCACCUUUGAAGGUGCAGCCACCCCAAACUUCUAUCUUCCUGUAGUGGGCUGGCAGCCAGGGUGAUGAACUACACAGGGAAGAGCAGCUUUGUACUUCUCACUGUCAGCAGUUUGGCUUUGCUGGAAAUUGCCAUCCCGAACCUUCCUCUUCUACAUAUACAAAAGUAGGCACAUGAUUUUCCUCUACACACUAUUUGUCACAUCCUGUAAGAUCCAUUAGAAGAAAUAAGUGGUGGGUUUGUAUGUUUUCCAGCAGAAUAAAUGUAAAACAGAAAAUUCA